AGUGAUCAGAAGUGAGAAUGUUGACAUGAGUAGCGACAAACAGGGUGAGAGACCCUGUCGCCGAAAGUCCAAGGGUUCCUGCUUAAAGCUAAUCUGAGCAGGGUAAGCCGGCCCCUAAGGCGAGGCCGAAAGGCGUAGUCGAUGGGAACCAGGUUAAUAUUCCUGGGCCAGGAGAUUGUGACGGAUCGCAGAGGUAGUUCUUCCUUAUCGGAUUGGAAGGGCUGCUGAGCGGUUCCUGGAAAUAGCCCUCCACAAGACCGUACCCUAAACCGACACAGGUGGACUGGUAGAGAAUACCAAGGCGCUUGAGAGAACCACAUUUAAGGAACUCGGCAAAAUACCUCCGUAAGUUCGCGAGAAGGAGGCCCCGUUUGUACGCAAGUAUGGGCGGGGGGCACAAACCAGGGGGUGGCGACUGUUUACUAAAAACACAGGGCUCUGCGAAGCCGUAAGGCGACGUAUAGGGUCUGACGCCUGCCCGGUGCCGGAAGGUUAAAAGGAGAUGUGCAAGCAUUGAAUUGAAGCCCCGGUAAACGGCGGCCGUAACAAUAACGGUCCUAAGGUAGCGAAAUUCCUUGUCGGGUAAGUUCCGACCUGCACGAAUGGCGUAACGACUUCCCCGCUGUCUCAAAUGUGGACUCAGCGAAAUUGAAUUGUCUGUGAAGAUGCAGACUUCCCGCGGUUAGACGGAAAGACCCCAUGCACCUUUACUAUAGCUUCGCACUGGCAUCAGGAUUGUGAUGUGCAGGAUAGGUGGUAGGCAUUGAAACCGGGACGCCAGUUCCGGUGGAGCCAUCCUUGAGAUACCACCCUUCGCACUCUUGAUGUCUAACCGCGGCCCGUUAUCCGGGUCCGGGACCCUGCGUGGUGGGUAGUUUGACUGGGGCGGUCGCCUCCCAAAAAGUAACGGAGGCGCGCGAAGGUUGGCUCAGAGCGGUCGGAAAUCGCUCGUUGAGUGCAAUGGCAGAAGCCAGCCUGACUGCAAGACUGACAAGUCGAGCAGAGACGAAAGUCGGCCAUAGUGAUCCGGUGGUCCCGAGUGGAAGGGCCAUCGCUCAACGGAUAAAAGGUACGCUGGGGAUAACAGGCUGAUGAUGCCCAAGAGUCCAUAUCGACGGCAUCGUUUGGCACCUCGAUGUCGGCUCAUCUCAUCCUGGGGCUGGAGCAGGUCCCAAGGGUACGGCUGUUCGCCGUUUAAAGAGGUACGUGAGCUGGGUUUAGAACGUCGUGAGACAGUUCGGUCCCUAUCUGCCGUGGGUGUAGGAUACUUGAGAGGAGUUGCCCCUAGUACGAGAGGACCGGGGUGAACGUUCCACUGGUGGACCAGUUGUCGUGCCAACGGCAGUGCUGGGUAGCUAUGAACGGACAGGAUAAACGCUGAAGGCAUCUAAGCGUGAAGCCCCCCUCAAAACAAGGUAUCCCUUGAGAGCCGUGGAAGACCACCACGUCGAUAGGCCGGAGAUGUAAGUGCAGCAAUG
rnacentral:rRNA from 1 species